GGGAAUUGAGGAGACGGUGAUGUUAAUGUUGGUUUUUCUGGGUUUCUUUGUUUGCGUUUUCUCUUUUUUUUUCUGUGUAUUUUCUUUCUCUCUGUUUUGCUGGGUUUCUUCCCUCUGUCUUGCUCUCGUCUGAAAAAUUAUUCAAGUGCUCUGUUUUUUAAACUCUCUCUACUCUCUCCCGGUUUGUUUCUGUUUUCGUUGUUUUAAGGCCGGUAUUGGUAAGGGAAGGGUUUACUUCUGGUAUGGGGUUCUAAAAAAACACUUAAAAAUUCGGCUGGUAUCUUUAGGUUUCUCUCUUUUGGUUUCGUUCGUCCCCUCUCCCCCUAACCAACCAGCCCCGCUCCUCUUCGGUGCUGCUCGGUUUAUAUAGGGCUCGGCGGGUUGAUAACGGGCGGUAGGCUAACGGUCGGCCACCAUUAAGGCGCCCAUAACUGAAGCCAACGGACGACGAUUACUGUUGCAACGUUCCUCCCUCCAUUACUGCGGAAACGGUCACUGGCUUAAAGGAGAAGAAGAUGAACAGCAUCUUCAAAACGACGUCGUUCGGCCAUUUUUCGUUUUGAUCCAUGCAGUUUUGAAAGUCUUGUAAUUAAACCCCUGGUUUAAACUGUAAUUGGCCCCCUGCAUUUGCGCGCCUUUUCAAUGUAAUCCUUGGAUUUUAAUUUCGCAAUUUGGACC
rnacentral:lncRNA from 1 species